rnacentral:rRNA from 1 species
GACGAACGCUGGCGGCGUGCUUAACACAUGCAAGUCGAACGGAAAGGCCCUGCUUUUGUGGGGUGCUCGAGUGGCGAACGGGUGUGUAACACGUGAGUAACCUGCCCUUGACUUUGGGAUAACUUCAGGAAACUGGGGCUAAUACCGGAUAGGAGCUCCUGCUGCAUGGUGGGGGUUGGAAAGUUUCGGCGGUUGGGGAUGGACUCGCGGCUUAUCAGCUUGUUGGUGGGGUAGCGGCUUACCAAGGCUUCGACGGGUAGCCGGCCUGAGAGGGUGACCGGCCACAUUGGGACUGAGAUACGGCCCAGACUCCUACGGGAGGCAGCAGUGGGGAAUAUUGCACAAUGGGCGGAAGCCUGAUGCAGCAACGCCGCGUGCGGGAUGACGGCCUUCGGGUUGUAAACCGCUUUCGCCUGUGACGAAGCGUGAGUGACGGUAAUGGGUAAAGAAGCACCGGCUAACUACGUG